rnacentral:rRNA from 1 species
CGGAGGAAAAGAAACCAACAGGGAUUGCCCCAGUAACGGCGAGUGAAGCGGCAACAGCUCAAAUUUGAAAUCUGGCUCUCGGGCCCGAGUUGUAAUUUGUAGAGGAUGCUUUUGGUGAGGUGCCUUCCGAGUUCCCUGGAACGGGACGCCAUAGAGGGUGAGAGCCCCGUCUGGUUGGACACCGAUCCUCUGUAAAGCUCCUUCGACGAGUCGAGUAGUUUGGGAAUGCUGCUCUAAAUGGGAGGUAUAUGUCUUCUAAAGCUAAAUACCGGCCAGAGACCGAUAGCGCACAAGUAGAGUGAUCGAAAGAUGAAAAGAACUUUGAAAAGAGAGUUAAACAGUACGUGAAAUUGUUGAAAGGGAAGCGCUUGUGACCAGACUUGGGCUUGGUUGAUCAUCCGGGGUUCUCCCCGGUGCACUCUUCCGGCUCAGGCCAGCAUCAGUUCGCCCUGGGGGAUAAAGGCUUCGGGAAUGUGGCUCUCUCCGGGGAGUGUUAUAGCCCGCUGCGUAAUACCCUGUGGCGGACUGAGGUUCGCGC